rnacentral:rRNA from 1 species
GACGAACGCUGGCGGCGUGCUUAACACAUGCGAGUCGAACGGUGAAGCUCCAGCUUGCUGGAGUGGAUCAGUGGCGAACGGGUGAGUAACACGUGAGCAACCUGCCCCUGACUCUGGAAUAAGCGCUGGAAACGGCGUCUAAUACUGGAUACGAGAAGGGCCCGCAUGGGCACUUUCUGGAAAGUUUUUCGGUUGGGGAUGGGCUCGCGGCCUAUCAGCUUGCUGGUGAGGUAAUGGCUCACCAAGGCGACGACGGGUAGCCGGCCUGAGAGGGCGACCGGCCACACUGGGACUGAGACACGGCCCAGACUCCUACGGGAGGCAGCAGUGGGGAAUAUUGCACAAUGGGCGAAAGCCUGAUGCAGCGACGCCGCGUGAGGGAUGACGGCCUUCGGGUUGUAAACCUCUUUCAGCAGGGAAGAAGCGAAAGUGACGGUACCUGCAGAAGAAGCACCGGCUAACUACGUG